rnacentral:rRNA from 1 species
CGACCGGCGCACGGGUGAGUAACACGUAUCCAACCUGCCGUCUACUCUUGGCCAGCCUUCUGAAAGGAAGAUUAAUCCAGGAUGGGAUCAUGAGUUCACAUGUCCGUAUGAUUAAAGGUAUUUUCCGGUAGACGAUGGGGAUGCGUUCCAUUAGAUAGUAGGCGGGGUAACGGCCCACCUAGUCAACGAUGGAUAGGGGUUCUGAGAGGAAGGUCCCCCACAUUGGAACUGAGACACGGUCCAA